rnacentral:lncRNA from 1 species
CAGAACCCCCCUAGAUUUUACACAGUUACAGAAAAACUAUAGUGAAAUUAAUUACGAUUUAUCUAGAGGGAAGGUUGAGCAUGGUUAUAGGUCGCGAAUUCUUGAUAUUGAUGCACUUAUGGCAGAAUAUAAAGAAGAACCGGUGAUUCAGGACAAGCUCCCUGAAGACCACAGUUUAUUUAAUAGGGAGUUACCAAAGAACAAAAGAAAUGUGUCAGAUUGGACUUCCUCCUAUAGUUGGAAAGAGAGGAAGGGAUCAGAUCACUAUUCUGUUAAAAACAAACAAGGUGACCAGGCAGAAGAGUACAACAGGCCAGAGAAAUUAAUCCUAAAUGAAAAGAACAGUGAGAAACUGGAAUCCUGUGGCCCUGAAUUUGAUAAGCAGAAGUCCAAAGACAGAAAGUUCAGCCCUCCUUACUGGGGAAAUCCCGGCAGCUUGUUUUCAGAUAAGUUUGUAAAUUCACCUGUGGAGUUCAACAGAAAAAAAACCUUCAUCACUGACGAAGAUCAAGAAGUGAACUUAACUUCCAAGCAACAAAGUUCAACAUUUGCAAAUGAUGAGGUACAGCCUACAAAUGCAGUUGGUACAGGCCAAAAGUUGGAAAUUAAUUUGGCUUCUAAGUUGUCUGUAAAGGCUGAUGUUGGCCAAUUACAGAAGAAGUUGGUCACAAAAGAACAGUUCUUGGAGGUGGCUCCAAAAGGUGAGUGGAGCAAAGGUAUAACAAGGAGCUUUGUAAAUAAGAACAAAGACGAUGCAAAUAAGACAUCAUGUGACAAUGACUUUUCCAAUGUGAAGAGUAAAACUGAUUGGAAAAACUACACAUCUACUUUAGGAGAUGCACCACCAGAUUUAAGACGAUCCUAUUCAGAAAAGAGCUGCCAAGGAAAAGACAAUGUACCACUUAUGAAAGAAGCAAGGGGAAGAAAGGAUCUAUAUCGAUUCAGACAGAGCUUCCCACCGGAAAGUAUGGAAAAUGGGUGGGAAAAAAAGACGUCAUCUCAAUCGGAAUCUUUCUUCCAUGAAGAUAAAAAGGUAUUACAAAAUGGUAUUUAAGUACUUCCUGUAACUAAAAUUGAAAGUGAAGAAA